rnacentral:rRNA from 1 species
CGGGACACGUGGUAUCCUGUCUGAAUAUGGGGGGACCAUCCUCCAAGGCUAAAUACUCCUGACUGACCGAUAGUGAACCAGUACCGUGAGGGAAAGGCGAAAAGAACCCCGGCGAGGGGAGUGAAAAAGAACCUGAAACCGUGUACGUACAAGCAGUGGGAGCACGCUUAGGCGUGUGACUGCGUACCUUUUGUAUAAUGGGUCAGCGACUUAUAUUCUGUAGCAAGGUUAACCGAAUAGGGGAGCCGAAGGGAAACCGAGUCUUAACUGGGCGUUAAGUUGCAGGGUAUAGACCCGAAACCCGGUGAUCUAGCCAUGGGCAGGUUGAAGGUUGGGUAACACUAACUGGAGGACCGAACCGACUAAUGUUGAAAAAUUAGCGGAUGACUUGUGGCUGGGGGUGAAAGGCCAAUCAAACCGGGAGAUAGCUGGUUCUCCCCGAAAGCUAUUUAGGUAGCGCCUCGUGAAUUCAUCUCCGGGGGUAGAGCACUGUUUCGGCAAGGGGGUCAUCCCGACUUACCAACCCGAUGCAAACUGCGAAUACCGGAGAAUGUUAUCACGGGAGACACACGGCGGGUGCUAACGUCCGUCGUGAAGAGGGAAACAACCCAGACCGCCAGCUAAGGUCCCAAAGUCAUGGUUAAGUGGGAAACGAUGUGGGAAGGCCCAGACAGCCAGGAUGUUGGCUUAGAAGCAGCCAUCAUUUAAAGAAAGCGUAAUAGCUCACUGGUCGAGUCGGCCUGCGCGGAAGAUGUAACGGGGCUAAACCAUGCACCGAAGCUGCGGCAGCGACGCUUAUGCGUUGUUGGGUAGGGGAGCGUUCUGUAAGCCUGUGAAGGUGUACUGUGAGGUAUGCUGGAGGUAUCAGAAGUGCGAAUGCUGACAUAAGUAACGAUAAAGCGGGUGAAAAGCCCGCUCGCCGGAAGACCAAGGGUUCCUGUCCAACGUUAAUCGGGGCAGGGUGAGUCGACCCCUAAGGCGAGGCCGAAAGGCGUAGUCGAUGGGAAACAGGUUAAUAUUCCUGUACUUGGUGUUACUGCGAAGGGGGGACGGAGAAGGCUAUGUUGGCCGGGCGACGGUUGUCCCGGUUUAAGCGUGUAGGCUGGUUUUCCAGGCAAAUCCGGAAAAUCAAGGCUGAGGCGUGAUGACGAGGCACUACGGUGCUGAAGCAACAAAUGCCCUGCUUCCAGGAAAAGCCUCUAAGCAUCAGGUAACAUCAAAUCGUACCCCAAACCGACACAGGUGGUCAGGUAGAGAAUACCAAGGCGCUUGAGAGAACUCGGGUGAAGGAACUAGGCAAAAUGGUGCCGUAACUUCGGGAGAAGGC